AGCAGCGAUCAGUCCACGAAAGCAUUAACCACUCCGGGCUGGGCUGCUUCCUGAGGAUAACUCCGUUCCGACCUACGUUUGUGCCGGCCCAGACUAACUUGAAGGAAGGCUUUUAGUUUGUAGAAAUCUUUAUUAUUUAUUUAUUCUUACACCGACACGAGGAAUCAUCGAUCACAAUAAAGAUGGCGACAGCCGCUUUACCAUGGUAACAGGGCAGUCAUUUGCUAACAACCUUGGCACUUUCACUUUAGUUCCGCCUUGUUAGGGAAAGGAAGUGCUUGGUUCCACUCCAGCAGCGUGCCUGUUAUUUUGUAAAUUUAGCUGGAGUGUUUGGUGGAAUAUGAGGAGAGUCGCGGCAGUCUAGGGAAUGAGAGAAUGAGGAGCGCUCAACUUCAAGGCGGCAACAUAGCUGAGGAUAUGGACAGAAUCCAGAAGAUUCAAGAUUGUUCACCUGCUUAAGGGCUGCCUUCUGAGGUACAUUGCUUGGUAGCAGGCCAGGGAGUUAGGUGGUCAACUGAAUUGGAGUAAGAUUUUCCUUGUUGUUGACAACGGCAUGGUGACCUCUUGCUGCUGAAUGAGAACUGCUUCCAAACCAAGCAUUGGGGAAAGCUGGAACCAGAGUUCUGGGAGACUGUUGCAUUGACACAUGGAACCCAGGGUUUAGCAAAACAAAGGUGGAUAUCACUGUACCACACUUAAACUCCAACAGUGUGCUUCUGGGAAUGCUUUUGAUGGGAUCCAGUACAUGUUCUCCUUUGAGAUCGCCAAGAAGCUGCAAGUGGCAUCACUGCCUGGUACUGGAGAAGCAUGUGGGGGGGUCUCUGCAGGUGACCUUUCUAGGGACAUUUGGCGUUAUGUAGCUGUCUCUUUGCCAGACCCAUAAUCAGGUUCAGUCCACUCCUGAGUCUCUAUUGGUCUUUAUCUUAGAGACCAUAAAAAAUCAUGUCAUUUGAAUAUGAAAUAUUCAUAUUAAGGUAAACUGAACACCAAAUCUCUUUUUGUUAAUAGAAUUAAAAAGAUUUUAGUAUCCUCCUAGCAAAUUUUGUAUCCCCUUGUUAGGUGACCUCUUUAAAAUUAUUCCUUUAAG